UUCAACUUCUUCCUUUUUCAUGUGUUGCCUUCGUUUACAGUCAGACCAGGGACUUGAGAACCAAGAAGCUAAUUGGUGUUGAGAAACAACAUACAAGACGGAACUGUUAACUACAUCUGCAUGCAGGUAUCUGUUUAAGGACAUUAAUUGCACCAAAUUAUUGUCAGAUGACUGCCGGUAACUUCUGGGAUUGUUUUACGGCAAUUUGCAUGGCCACAUGGAUUGUGUUCCAGCAUAUAGCAAAUGCCAGCUAAAACAGUGGUGGACGGUGAAUUAGACUGCUAAAGGGUGUCUUCUCAGCUGUGUGGAGCUGGGCUGAGGUCAAGUCUUAACGACUGUCCCACCAGUCCAAACUGAUCCUGACUGACCUGUGGGCGGAUUGAACAAGCAGCCAACAGCAGCAGAACACACGGCUACUGGCCUCCUUUUGACGACUAAGAAGUCCAUGAGGUGGGCGGAGCAAGUCAGAUAAAAGUAAGAAAGCUGCUCCCUUGUCGGCCCUUCACGGUUUAUUUCUCUCUGAAAGGUAAUAUUUUCACAUUGACUGUAUUGGCCCCCUAGCAUCCAAAGAGCCAAGUCAUAAUACGUUUUGUGCAUAUGUAAGCUAUAAAGGGCUUGGAUUGUUGUGGCAAGUGUAACUCUGGCAUAAAACCCCCGGCCUUAUUUGAGUUGGAGAGGAGGGAUUUAGAUCUGAUGUGUUUCUUUUUGCUUCUCUGCACUUUCAGCCAACUGCUCCAUUAUCCCCCAUCAAUUUUCACCAGCUGCUUUUAUCCCUCACAAAGCCCAAAUACCACAGAGAAAAUGGGACAGGGCCGAUUUCAAACGACAGCUUUAGUUUUAUGUUUAAUGUAAUGAGAAAUGACUUUUUAAAUGCAGCUCUGUAUUUGUUGCCCUACUGUAAGAACUCCGUUAAUGAAUUAAAUGUGCAGUUGUUGGCACUGGAAAUUCAUUUUUCUUCUUCGUUGGAUUAAAAAUAGAAGUGAUUUA